rnacentral:rRNA from 1 species
UUGGAGGGCAAGUCUGGUGCCAGCAGCCGCGGUAAUUCCAGCUCCAAUAGCGUAUAUUAAAGUUGCUGCAGUUAAAAAGCUCGUAGUUGAAUUUCGGAGUUUGUCGGUCGGUCGGGCUUCACUGUCCGCACUGGCCUGACGGAUUCCUACCUUCUGAAUAACCAGCAUGCUAUUAAGUUAGUGCGUUGGGGAAGCAGAGCUAUUACCUUGAAAAAAUUAGAGUGCUUAAAGCAGGCUUAUGCUUGAAUAGAUUAGCAUGGAAUAAUAAAAUAGGACGGCAUGGUUCUAUUUUGUUGGUUUCUAGGAUCACCGUAAUGAUUAAUAGGGAUAGUUGGGGGCAUUAGUAUUCGAUUGUCAGAGGCGAAAUUCCUGGAUUUAUUGAAGACUAACUUCUGCGAAAGCAUUUGCCAAGGAUGUUUUCAUUAAUCAAGAACGAAAGUUAGGGGAUCGAAGACGAUCAGAUACCGUCGUAGUCUUAACCAUAAACUAUGCCGACUAGGGAUCGGACGAUGUUAAUUUUUUAAUGACUCGUUCGGCGCCUUACGGGAAAC